rnacentral:rRNA from 1 species
GACGAACGCUGGCGGCGUGCCUAACACAUGCAAGUCGAACGAAAAGGCCCUGCGCUUGCUCGUUGCUCGAGUGGCGAACGGGUGAGUAACACGUGAGUAACCUGCCCUUGUCUUUGUGAUAACUUUACGAAACUCGGGCUAAUACCCGAUAGGAUCUCCUGCUGCAUGGUGUUGGUUGGAAAGUUUCGGCUGUUGGGGAUGGACUCGCGGCUUAUCAGCUUGUUGGUGGAGUAGUGGCUUCCCAAGGGUUUGACGGGUAGCCGACCUGAGAGGGUUACCGGCCACAUUGGGCCUGCGAGACGCAGCAGAAUGGUACGGGAGGCAGCGGUGGGGAAUCUUGCACAGUGGGCGGAAGCCUGAUGCAGAGAUCCCGCGUGCGGGAUGCCGGGUUUCGGGUUGUAAACCGCUUUCGAAUGUGACGAAGAGUGCGUGACGGUAAUGGGUAAAGAAGCAACGGCUAACUACGUG